ACCUAUGUGGCUCAGUCGGUUGAGCGUCCGACUUCGGCUCAGGUCAUGAUCUCACAGUUCGUGGGUUCGAGCCCCGCAACAGGCU
rnacentral:tRNA from 1 species